GACGAACGCUGGCGGCGUGCUUAACACAUGCAAGUCGAACGCUGAAGCUCAGCUUGCUGGGUGGAUGAGUGGCGAACGGGUGAGUAACACGUGAGUAACCUGCCCUCUUCUUUGGGAUAACGCCCGGAAACGGGUGCUAAUACUGGAUAUUCACUGAUUCUCGCAUGGGGGUUGGUGGAAAGGUUUUUUCUGGUGGGGGAUGGGCUCGCGGCCUAUCAGCUUGUUGGUGUGGUGAUGGCCUACCAAGGCUUUGACGGGUAGCCGGCCUGAGAGGGUGACCGGUCACAUUGGGACUGAGAUACGGCCCAGACUCCUACGGGAGGCAGCAGUGGGGAAUAUUGCACAAUGGGCGAAAGCCUGAUGCAGCGACGCCGCGUGAGGGAUGGAGGCCUUCGGGUUGUAAACCUCUUUCGCUCAUGGUCAAGCCGCAGCUUUGGGUUGUGGUGAGGGUAGUGGGUAAAGAAGCGCCGGCUAACUACGUG
rnacentral:rRNA from 1 species